UGGGGAAUCUUGGACAAUGGGGGAAACCCUGAUCCAGCCAUGCCGCGUGAGUGACGAAGGCCCUAGGGUCGUAAAGCUCUUUCGCUAGGGAAGAUAAUGACGGUACCUGGUAAAGAAGCCCCGGCUAACUCCGUG
rnacentral:rRNA from 1 species